rnacentral:rRNA from 1 species
GACGAACCGUGCGAACGUUAUUCGGAAUCACUGGGCUUAAAGCGCGUGUAGGCGGGACGGCACGUCGGUCGCUGAAAGCCCCCGGCUCAACCGGGGAACGGGCGCCGAUACGACCGCCCUGGAGGGACGUAGGGGGACCUGGAACUUCCGGUGGAGCGGUGAAAUGCGUUGAGAUCGGAAGGAACGCCCGUGGCGAAAGCGAGGUCCUGGACGUCUGCUGACGCUGAGACGCGAAAGCCAGGGGAGCGAACGGA